AGCUUUAUAGUCAAUUUAUGAUAUUAGACUGCAAUUCUAAAGGAGUAUUUCUUAUACUAAGGCUU
rnacentral:tRNA from 1 species